ensembl:lncRNA
GAAGAAACCCUGGAGGUCAGUUUGUUAAAACACCCAGCGUGACACUCCACUGGCCUGGUCACUCCUCUCAAAUGAGGCUCUUGGGUGGGAAGUAUGAGAUGGAGCUGCCAUUCAACCAACUGGCCAAGGGGCAAGACUGUGAGUUGGGCCUUGUGUCUGCUACCUCAGAGGGCCCUGCUUUGUCCUCACGUCCUGAGAAUGGAACCCAGCAACAGAUGCAGAUGGCUUGCUCUUGUCGGCAUUUGAAAGUCACUCUUAAAUUCAACGUAGUGACUUGUGCUGAGAAUUUCCAAUUCAAAGAGGACCAAUAGAAAGGAUGAUUUGGCCCCCAUUCAUUGGGCACCUCACAAGUCAUUCUACUCCUAGACAGAGAAACUCACAGGAGUGGGGAGACAUUCACAGGGGAAGGCACAGUCGCCACACUGAGCCAGAGUUAGGUGAUAGGACAUAAGUGACUGAAGCCCAGGGCAUCAUAGGGACCUAAUUAUUAGGUCGCACAAACCAGGCAGCAGCCAUAGCCUGUCCUCCUGUGGAAGAACCUGGGGCCAGAUUAGAAAUACUGGAGAGGCAAACACAUCUGUGCCGAAAGGGGGCAAAGAGGCCAUGUCCCUUCCUGGGCUUCCUAACGAGGAAGCAGCACAGCAAGUCUGCAGAGCCACAGCCGUGCUGGCAGCACCCACUCUGUCCCUGGGGGCACACUCUAUCUCCUGGCCAUCUGGUCAGAGGAAGGCAUCUGAGAAGUCACUGCCAUCAGAGUGAAUCCUAUCCUUGAGCACCUGCCAUGAGAAGUAGUCACAUGGUGAGAGGAACCCUCAAAAACAAAGCGUCCCUAGUUGUGGGACACAGCCAGGCCUUGCUGUGCUCAGACUCACCCCACUAUCGGCCUGCAAGGGAAUCUAAGCUUGAAGAUAAUGAAGUCCCCAAACCAGCCUGUGUUCUGUGAGUACCUGUGUACAUGAACUUGCUAGGAAGAAUCGGACCUGAUCCCUGAGCCAGCCUGAAAGAGAGGUAGAGUGGCAUGCGGGUGAGCCCCAGUCAAUGGCCCACCACAAAGAGAACCACUGGGCCUAUGUCCUAGGCAUUUAUCCCAGGGAUUAGGCUGGACGCAGUCCAUGUGAGGUUGCUGCUUCUGUAUCAGAUGCCCAAGCCUGGAGCCUGUGGGAAGGAUGAUGGACACGAAAUGUAGGAAGCAUGAGAAGAAGGAUCCCCUUUUGGCAGCACCAGACCAAUAAGGACCAACUGGAACUGCUUUGAUCUCUUGUUGGAGAGACUGGAGCAGGAGGUGCAGCAGGACCCUGGAAGCUCCACUGGUGGCUGCCGCAGCAACAAUGAUCUGUACUGACCUCUAAGAGGGUAGGCUGCUCCUUAGCAGUGACUUUCCACAUCUCAUGUAAAGUGUGGUCCACACUCUCUUGGAACAAUUCAGAGAAUUGUUGAGACAACUGAGCACAGAAUUCUGGGGAAUAACAUUUCAGCUUAGCUAAGGUGACACAUAUAAAUCCACCCAACAGGUUAACUGCUCUCUGCUCUGGGCUCCUAGACACGGAUUUACACCCACCUCCAUCAUAACACCACG